GAUGAACGCUAGCGGCAGGCCUAACACAUGCAAGUCGAGGGAGAAGCCUUCGGGCUGAAACCGGCGCACGGGUGCGUAACGCGUAUACAAUCUGCCUUUCACAUAGGGAUAGCCCGAAGAAAUUUGGAUUAAUACCUAAUGGUAUAUAAGAGCGGCAUCGUUUUUAUAUUAAAGCUACGGUGGUGAAAGAUGAGUAUGCGUUCUAUUAGCUAGUUGGAGAGGUAACGGCUCCCCAAGGCGACGAUAGAUAGGGGUUCUGAGAGGGAUGUCCCCCACACUGGUACUGAGAUACGGACCAGACUCCUACGGGAGGCAGCAGUGAGGAAUAUUGGACAAUGGUCGGAAGACUGAUCCAGCCAUGCCGCGUGCAGGAUGAAGGUCCUAUGGAUUGUAAACUGCUUUUGUAAGGGAAGAAUAGGAGCUACGUGU
rnacentral:rRNA from 1 species